rnacentral:rRNA from 1 species
AUGACGUUGGAGCCCAGGAGCCAGACGCCACCAUCAACGACGACUACUACUAUUCGGGAGGUGCCUACUACUACAUGCAGCCCGCUGACGACGACCAGGAGUAAUUUAGGAGGAUCCCAGGCAGGAGGCCUACGCCUCUUUCAAUCUGUAUCCCAGUUUGUGCUAGCCUUCGUAAGGCAAACUUGUUUAACUUAUGUCUGUACUCAGAUAUUGUUGCUUCCGCUGACUCGUCUAUGA